rnacentral:rRNA from 1 species
UACGGAGGGUGCAAGCGUUAUCCGGAUUCACUGGGUUUAAAGGGUGCGUAGGCGGGUCGAUAAGUCUGUGGUGAAAUCCCCAAGCUUAACUUGGGAACUGCCAUGGAUACUAUUGAUCUUGAAUAUCGCGGAGGUAAGCGGAAUAUGUCAUGUAGCGGUGAAAUGCUUAGAUAUGACAUGGAACACCAAUUGCGUAGGCAGCUUACUACACGAUCAUUGACGCUGAGGCACGAAAGCGUGGGGAGCAAAC